UACGUAGGGUGCGAGCGUUAAUCGGAAUUACUGGGCGUAAAGCGUGCGUAGGCGGCCUUCUAAGUCGAACGUGAAAUCCCCGGGCUCAACCCGGGAACUGCGUCCGAUACUGGAAGGCUUGAAUCCGGGAGAGGGAUGUGGAAUUCCAGGUGUAGCGGUGAAAUGCGUAGAUAUCUGGAGGAACACCGGUGGCGAAGGCGACAUCCUGGACCGGUAUUGACGCUGAGGCGCGAAAGCCAGGGGAGCAAACGGG
rnacentral:rRNA from 1 species